AACGAACGCUGGCGGCAUGCCUAACACAUGCAAGUCGAACGAGACCUCCGUGUCUGGUUGCGCACGGGGGCGGCGCGCGUGGAACCUGCCCUGAGGUUCGGAAUAACUCCCCGAAAGGGGUGCUAAUAGCAGGUAAUGUCUUCGGACCAAAGAUUUAUCGCCUUUGGAGGGGGCCGCGGUGGCUUAGCUCGUUGGUAGGGUAAAAGCCUACCAAGGCGACGCUCCAUAGCCGGGCUGAGAGGAUGAUCAGCCACACUUGGGCUGAGACACGGCCCAGACUCCUACGCGAGGCAGCAGUGGCUAAUACUGGCAUAUGGGGGAGGGCCUGAUCCCGCAAUGCCGCGUGAGUGAUGUUGGUCUUAGGGUUGUAAAGCUCUUUUAUCCGGGAUGAUACUGACAGUACCGGGAGAAUAAGCACCGGCUAACUUCGUG
rnacentral:rRNA from 1 species